GACGAACGCUGGCGGCGUGCUUAACACAUGCAAGUCGAACGGAAAGGCCCUGCUUUUGUGGGGUGCUCGAGUGGCGAACGGGUGAGUAACACGUGAGUAACCUGCCCUUGACUUUGGGAUAACUUCAGGAAACUGGGGCUAAUACCGGAUAGGAGCUCCUGCUGCAUGGUGGGGGUUGGAAAGUUUCGGCGGUUGGGGAUGGACUCGCGGCUUAUCAGCUUGUUGGUGGGGUAGUGGCUUACCAAGGCUUUGACGGGUAGCCGGCCUGAGAGGGUGACCGGCCAAAAUGGGAACUAGAUUCGGCCCCGACUCCUACGGGAGGCAGGAGUGGGGAAUAAUGGACCAUGGGCGGAAGGCUGAUGGCGGAACGGCGGCUGGCGGAAUAAGGCCCUCGGGUUUGAAACCCGCUUCGCCCGGGACGAAGGGUGGGUUGCGGGAAUUGGGAAAGAAGCACCGGCUAACUACGUG
rnacentral:rRNA from 1 species